rnacentral:tRNA from 3 species
UGGAAGCGUGGCCGAGUGGUUUAAGGCACUGGUCUUGAAAACCAGCGACGGGCAACCGUCCGUGAGUUCGAAUCUCACCGCUUCCGCCAA